rnacentral:lncRNA from 1 species
CUUUUUGCCCUGUAGCAUACGCGCGCGCACACAUUGUCGAUAAGGAUAAUGCAAAUGUUUGUAAGACGAGCAGUUUUGAAGGUGAGGGGAUGUGUUAGUCGAUACAAGUGAUACACUAAUACAAAAUGCUAUUGCAAGUCGAUAAGAUAUAACAGUACUUGUAGCUGUAACACUAGUCAAUUCUUCUACAGUGAAGAUAUAGCAUAAUAUAUAUAAUACUAAAACCACUACCACAAACCAACAGCGCUAACUGUUUAUAUCACAAAUCAGCUACCACUAGAAUCUGCUACAUCAACACCAUUCAGUUUUACUAAUAUUACAAAUAACUACACAAAUACAUUAUGGAUAACAAAACUGUCGGAACAGUAAAUAAUGGAUUCACUAAAUUAUAUGACAGAGUUGGAAAAUCAUUUAUCGUUUAUAAAUAUCAGGGUCACAACAUGGUUCCUUUACCUAUAGUGGUGGAGAAUUUAGGGAAAUUAAAUUCACUCAAAAUUCGAACUGAUGAUGUUUUAAUAUGCAGUUUCCCAGGAACAGGUUCCCACUGGUUGUUUGAAAUGGUGAAUAUGAUAUUAAAA